UUGAACGCUGGCGGCAGGCCUAACACAUGCAAGUCGAACGGUAACAGGAAUCAGCUUGCUGAUUCGCUGACGAGUGGCGGACGGGUGAGUAAUGUCUGGGAAACUGCCUGAUGGAGGGGGAUAACUACUGGAAACGGUAGCUAAUACCGCAUAACGUCGCAAGACCAAAGAGGGGGACCUUCGGGCCUCUUGCCAUCGGAUGUGCCCAGAUGGGAUUAGCUAGUAGGUGGGGUAAAGGCUCACCUAGGCGACGAUCCCUAGCUGGUCUGAGAGGAUGACAAGCCACACUGGAACUGAGACACGGUCCAGACUCCUACGGGAGGCAGCAGUGGGGAAUAUUGCACAAUGGGCGCAAGCCUGAUGCAGCCAUGCCGCGUGUAUGAAGAAGGCCUUCGGGUUGUAAAGUACUUUCAGCGGGGAGGAAGGGAGUAAAGUUAAUACCUUUGCUCAUUGACGUUACCCGCAGAAGAAGCACCGGCUAACUCCGUG
rnacentral:rRNA from 1 species